GCCUGGAUAGGUCAGUCGGUAGAGCAUCAGACUUUUAAUCUGAGGGUCCAGGGUUCCAGUCCCUCUUCAGGCG
rfam:Danio rerio chromosome 4, GRCz11 reference primary assembly.